UACGGAGGGGGCAAGCGUUGUUCGGAAUUACUGGGCGUAAAGCGCGCGUAGGCUGCAUAGUAAGUUGGGAGUGAAAUCCCAGGGCUCAACCCUGGAAUUGCUUUCAAAACUACUGUGCUGGAGAAUGGCAGAGGAUAGUGGAAUUCCUAGUGUAGAGGUGAAAUUCGUAGAUAUUAGGAGGAACACCAGAGGCGAAGGCGGCUAUCUGGGCCAUUUCUGACGCUAAGGCGCGAAAGCGUGGGGAGCAAACAGG
rnacentral:rRNA from 1 species